UCAUUUCGAUUAAGUCAGAUUGAAGAUGGAGACAUAAUUUGCUUUCAGAAAUCUCCUCCUCUUCAGGGUGAAGAAGAUUGUCGAUACCCAGAUGUGCCUUCAUUUUUGGAAUAUGUGCACAAUCGGCAGAUAGUUCAUUUUCGGUCUUUGGAGAAACCAAAAGAGGAUGAUUUUUGUCUGGAGUUGUCAAAGCUACAUACCUAUGAUGAUGUUGUGGAAAGAGUAGCUCGCCAAAUUGGUUUAGAUGAUUCAUCCAAGAUUAGGUUAACAUCUCACAACUGCUACUCCCAGCAGCCUAAGCCCCAACCAAUUAAAUAUAGAGGAGUGGAGCAUCUAUCAGAUAUGUUAGUUCACUAUAAUCAGACCUCUGAUAUUUUGUACUAUGAAGUUCUGGACAUUCCUCUUCCAGAAUUGCAAGGUUUGAAAAAUCUGAAAGUUGCUUUCCAUCAUGCUACUAAAGAUGAGGUGGUAAUUCAUAAUAUUAGA
rnacentral:misc_RNA from 1 species